rnacentral:tRNA from 2 species
GGGGGUGUAGUUCAGUGGUAGAGCGCAUGCUUCGCAUGUAUGAGGUCCUGGGUUCAAUCUUCAGCAUCUCCA